rnacentral:rRNA from 1 species
GAUGAACGCUGGCGGCGUGCCUAAUACAUGCAAGUCGAGCGAAUGGAUUAAGAGCUUGCUCUUAUGAAGUUAGCGGCGGACGGGUGAGUAACACGUGGGUAACCUGCCCAUAAGACUGGGAUAACUCCGGGAAACCGGGGCUAAUACCGGAUAAUAUUUUGAACUGCAUGGUUCAAAAUUGAAAGGCGGCUUCGGCUGUCACUUAUGGAUGGACCCGCGUCGCAUUAGCUAGUUGGUGAGGUAACGGCUCACCAAGGCAACGAUGCGUAGCCGACCUGAGAGGGUGAGCGGACACACGGGGACUGAGAGACGGACCAGACUGCUACGGGAGGCAGCAGUAGGGAAGCUUCCGCAAUGGACGAAAGUCUGACGGAGCAACGCCGCGUGAGUGAUGAAGGCUUUCGGGUCGUAAAACUCUGUUGUUAGGGAAGAACAAGUGCUAGUUGAAUAAGCUGGCACCUUGACGGUACCUAACCAGAAAGCCACGGCUAACUACGUGCCAGCCGCCGCGGUAA